rnacentral:tRNA from 1 species
GGUUGCGUGGCCCAGUGGUUAAGGCAUCUGCUUUACAAGCUUAUUUAGCAGUAUCGCAGAGGAUCGCAGGUUCGAUCCCUGCCGCGAUCA